rnacentral:rRNA from 1 species
GCCUAGCUUGCUAAGCUUGUUUUUAGUGGCGCACGGGUGAGUAACACGUGAGUUACCUGCCCCCAAGAGUGGGAUAGCCCCGGGAAACUGGGAUUAAUACCGCAUAAUAUCGCAAGAUUAAAGGUGCAAACCGCUUGGGGAUGGGCUCGCGGCCUAUUAGUUAGUUGGUGAGGUAACGGCUCACCAAGGCGAUGACGGGUAGCCGGUCUGAGAGGAUGUCCGGCCACACUGGAACUGAGACACGGUCCAGACACCUACGGGUGGCAGCAGUCGAGAAUCAUUCACAAUGGGGGAAACCCUGAUGGUGCGACGCCGCGUGGGGGAGCGAAGGUCUUCGGAUUGUAAACCCCUGUCAAGUGGGAGCAAAUUAAAAAGAUAGUACCACUAGAGGAAGAGACGGCUAACUCUGUGCCAGCAGCCGCGGUAAUACAGAGGUCUCAAGCGUUGUUCGGAAUCACUGGGCGUAAAGCGUACGUAGGCGGCUUGGUAAGUCGUGUGUGAAAGGCAGGGGCUCAACCUCUGGACUGCACAUGAUACUGCCAGGCUAGAGUAAUGGAGGG